GGAGGAAAAGAAACUAACAAGGAUUCCCCUAGUAGCGGCGAGCGAAGCGGGAAGAGCUCAAAUUUAUAAUCUGGCACCUUCGGUGUCCGAGUUGUAAUCUCUAGAAGUGUUUUCCGCGUUGGACCGCACACAAGUCUGUUGGAAUACAGCGGCAUAGUGGUGAAACCCCCGUAUAUGGUGCGGACGCCCAGCGCUUUGUGAUACACUUUCAAUGAGUCGAGUUGUUUGGGAAUGCAGCUCAAAUUGGGUGGUAAAUUCCAUCUAAAGCUAAAUAUUGGCGAGAGACCGAUAGCGAACAAGUACCGUGAGGGAAAGAUGAAAAGCACUUUGGAAAGAGAGUUAACAGUACGUGAAAUUGUUGGAAGGGAAACGCUUGAAGUCAGACUUGCUUGCCGGAGCUUGCUUCGGUUUGCAGGCCAGCAUCAGUUUUCCGGGGUGGAUAAUGACGGUUUGAAGGUAGCAGUCUCGGCUGUGUUAUAGCUUUCCGUUGGAUACAUCCUGGGGGACUGAGGAACGCAGCGUGCUUUUUGCGAAAGACUCGUCUUUUUCACGCUUAGGAUGCUGGUGGAAUGGCUUUAAACGACCCGUCUUGA
rnacentral:rRNA from 1 species